rnacentral:rRNA from 1 species
UACGUAGGUGGCAAGCGUUGUCCGGAUUUAUUGGGUUUAAAGGGUGCGUAGGCGGCUUUGUAAGUCAGUGGUGAAAUAUGGCAGCUCAACUGUCAAGGUGCCAUUGAUACUGCAGAACUUGAGUACAGAUGAGGUAGGCGGAAUUGACGGUGUAGCGGUGAAAUGCUUAGAUAUCGUCAAGAACACCUAUAGCGAAGGCAGCUUACUAGGCUGUAACUGACGCUGAGGCACGAAAGUGUGGGGAUCAAACAGG